rnacentral:lncRNA from 1 species
GUGACCGAUUACCUGUGUGAGAUUUGAGCCAUUUGAUGAUCUUUCUUGUGUGUGAUAUGUCUCUAGAUUGCUUGCACAUUUGCCUUGGCUUGACUCUGUUGAUAAUUCUUGAUUCAUGAGCAUGUUUGAAAAUGAUAAAGGCAUUUUGUUGAUUGAGCCUCUCUAGCCAGAUGAGCCUACCCUGUGUUUGAUCCUUUGAUAGCCCCUUUGAGCCUAUGCUUUCCCCAUUUCUUUGUUUUGAAGCUUAUAUACUAGCCCUAAGUGAAAAACCAUGUCUACCUUAACCUUAGGGAAUUUUGGAGCUUUGGAAUUGUUUUGGGAAUAAGUGUGGUCUCCCGGGGAAUUCAGAUGAAUUGGCUAGUUGGUUCUUCUUCUUGUUUUUGUUUUUAUAAAUAUAUUGUGUAUCUUGUCUCUUAGAGUUGUGUUCUGAAAGGAGAGAAAAGAAAAUAGACAAGAUGAGAAAAAAAAAAAGAAAGAAAAAAUACAGAAAAAUGAGAAAAAUUAAAAAAAUUUGUGUGAAUAAUGGAGUCAAGAAGAGGAUUGAAUUAGAGGUUUUGGGUGUGAUUUGACUGUGUUUACACUUGUUCCCCAUUGCUCCUCUAUUCCUUUUGGUUUAUAGCUUCUUAUCCAGAUGUAUCCUCCCUUGUCCUUGGCCCCAUUACAACCAUGAAAAGACCUUUUGAUUUGAACAUGCAUAUGUUUUUGAGUGUUGAUAUUAGAGGCUUGCCAAGUCUAUCUGUGUGUGCUUUCUUGAGUGCAUUGAGUGACAUUGAUUUACCUUAAACACUUGAGAGAGACACUGAUUGUGUGCAUCUGUGAGGCUCUGUUGCUCUUGAUUCAUCUCUUGAACUGAUUGAUUGUUUUCCAUGAACUGAAUUGUUUGGAUGAUUCUGUGAGUAUCUGCUUUCAUUGCUUUUGUGUUGGAUACUGUCCACUUCCUUUCACUGUCCAGAUUUUGUGAGAAUUGUGCAACUCUGUUUUUGUUUUGUGAGUCUUUGUUGUCUAUCUGUCGAGUCUGUGUCACCUCCCUGAUGUUNGAGUAGUUCCCUNGUUUUCGUCUUGGUUUUGCCCAGGAGUGCAAAAGACUAAGUGUGGUCUAUUUUGAUGAGUGGUUAUUUCUUCAACUAUAUUUAGUUUAUUGCACUUAAAUAAACCAGGGAAUUGUGUUUAAUUGUCUGUUAUUUCCCCGUUUUCCGAAUUCUGCUUUAUUUGGUCGGAAAUUUGUAAUUGUGCUAAUUUGGGUUUUCUAAGCUGAUUAAGUGUAUUUUGGUUGCAGGGAAAUUUUGGGAAACAUCAAUUGGAGCAUUAGGGAUGGUGGCAUAAUUAUUCAAGACUCAACAUUUAGCCAUUUUCAUUUUUAUAAAGUUGUAUUUUCGUUUUUUU